GGAAUUCGAUUCGGUGUGACAAGGCCCGGGAACGUAUUCACCGCGGCGUGCUGAUCUGCGAUUACUAGCGAUUCCAACUUCAUGUGCUCGAGUUGCAGAGCACAAUCCGAACUGAGACGGCUUUUGGAGAUUUGCGCAGGAUUGCUCCAUUGCAUCCCAUUGUCACCGCCAUUGUAGCACGUGUGUAGCCCAGCCCGUAAGGGCCAUGAGGACUUGACGUCAUCCCCACCUUCCUCGCGGCUUAUUACCGGCAGUCCCCUUAGAGUGCCCAACUGAAUGGUGGCAACUAAGGGCGAGGGUUGCGCUCGUUGCGGGACUUAACCCAACAUCUCACGACACGAGCUGACGACAGCCAUGCAGCACCUGUCUCCGGUCCAGCCGAACUGAAAGGGUCCACUUCUGGUCCCCGCGACCGGGAUGUCAAGGGCUGGUAAGGUUCUUCGCGUUAAUCACUA
rnacentral:rRNA from 1 species